rnacentral:lncRNA from 1 species
GUCCGAGCAAAUGAAUACACCCGACAAGAACUUCCGACAUAUUUCUUUCAGGUAAAUCAUUACUAAUGUAUCACGUACCCAAGUGAAGUGUGUUUUCUUUUGACAGAAAGGAUGUUUUUUCCUUAAUGCAAAAAAAGCUAAUUCAUGCUAUAGUACUCCCUGCGUUGUUUUAAGUUUGCAUAUAAACUUUGGUCAAAGUCAAGCUUUGUAAAAUUUGACAAACUUUACAUUUUUUUUGGUAUAUAUGACACAUUUUGAUGGUAGUUUUACGCAGUAAAGAUUUUUCAUCUCGUUGAAUUUUUUUGGCCCAGGGUUUGCUUCAAUUCUGGCUCCGCCACUGGACGGUGGGCAUGUGGGGGUGUGUCUGCGGCGGUUCUGUCCUUAGUGGAUUUGCUUUGAUCUUGUCGUAGUUUGUCUAUGUUCGUGUGUCUUCAGGUUGUAUCGUUUUGAUCGACGCUACUCUUCAUCAGCAACAGUUGUUGUUUUGCUAUGCUGGACCUACGGGGCCUUAGCACGACGACUUCCCGACUAUUUACUACAACAAGUUUUGCUGGCUCCAGCGAGGUAGCGGCGAUGACGGCGGCGCGUCUUCGGCUCGCUUCAAUGCUUGUAGUCGUCGCUUGGUGAUCUACGGAUCUAGAUGUAAUUUUUAUUUUUUUGGUAUUCAUUGUACUGUUAUGAUUGAAGAUGAAUAGACUGAAAGUCUUCUCGCAACAAAAAGAGGGCAAACCAACGUGGUGGACCCAGCCAGUGUGCACGGAGCAGAGAUUCCACAUUGCUAAUAAUUUCCCGAAUACACCCCUCAAAAGCAAAUUAAAGAAUACUCCCUCCAUAAGCUAAUAUAAAUUGUAGUGAUCUAAACACUCUUAUAUUAGUUUACAGAGGGAGUACAAGAGCUUUGUAAGAUUUUGAUACCCUUGUCUAUAUUUUGGAAAACCAGGAUACAGAAAUUUGUUGUCAACAACCACAUAAUCAUAACGGACUUGCAAGGAAUCG